rnacentral:tRNA from 1 species
AACUAAUGAACUUGAAUAAGUACAUAUUUUGAAAAUAUGCAAAAGAGAUAGAACUCUCUAUUAGUUU